rnacentral:tRNA from 1 species
GCUCGGGUAGUUUAAAUAGAACAUAACGUUGAAGGUGUUAAGGUAGACAUAAGUUUCUUGGGCG